UUAGAGUCUAAAAACUCCCUAAACCAUUGUGAAUUUACCUAUUCGUUGCUUCGGUGGGUGGUGCCCCUCCGGGGCCCUCCCGGCCGCAAGGCGCCCCGCCGGGGGUAUUUUUGAACACUAUUGUCGUCUACUGUCACCUCUGAGUAAAACAAAAAUUCAAUUA
rnacentral:misc_RNA from 1 species